rnacentral:rRNA from 1 species
UACGUAGGGGGCUAGCGUUGUCCGGAAUCAUUGGGCGUAAAGCGCGCGUAGGCGGCCAGAUAAGUCCGGUGUGAAAGUCAAAGGCUCAACCUUUGAAUGCCGCUGGAAACUGUCUGGCUUGAGUCCGGAAGGGGCGAGUGGAAUUCCUGGUGUAGCGGUGAAAUGCGCAGAUAUCAGGAGGAACACCAAUGGCGAAGGCAGCUCGCUGGAACGGUACUGACGCUGGAGGCGACGAAAGCGUGGGGAGCGAACAGG